rnacentral:rRNA from 1 species
AAUAUUUGGCAAUGGGGGAAACCCUGACCCCGCAACGCCGCGUGAGGGAAGAAGGCUUUCGCGUUGUAAACCGCUGUCGCAGGGGACGAAAAAAAUGACGGUACCCUAGGAGGUAGCCCCGGCUAACUACGUGCCCACAGCCGCGGUAAUACGUAGGGGGCGAGCGUUAUCCGGAAUGACUGGGUGUAAAGGGUGCGUAGGCGGCCUUUUAAGUCAGAUGUGAAAGGAUUCGGCUUAACCGUAGUUAGCAAUUGAAACUAGAAAGAUUGAGUGCAGGAGAGGAGAGUGGAAUUCAUAGUGUAGCAGUGAAAUGCGUAGAUAUUAGGAGGAACACCAGUGGCGAAGGCGACACUCUGGACUGCAACUGACGCUGAGGCACGAAAGCGUGGGGAGCAAACAGG